rnacentral:rRNA from 1 species
GCUUAACGCGAAGAACCUUACCUACCCUUGACAUGUCAAGAAUCUUGCAGAGAUGUGAGAGUGCUCGAAAGAGAACUUGAACACAGGUGCUGCAUGGCCGUCGUCAGCUCGUGUCGUGAGAUGUUGGGUUAAGUCCCGCAACGAGCGCAACCCUUGUCAUUAGUUGCUACGAAAGGGCACUCUAAUGAGACUGCCGGUGACAAACCGGAGGAAGGUGGGGAUGACGUCAGGUCCUCAUGGCCCUUAUGGGUAGGGCUACACACGUCAUACAAUGGCCGGGACAGAGGGCUGCCAACCCGCGAGGGGAGCCGAAUCCCACGAAACCCGGUCGUAGUCCGGAUCGCAGUCUGCAACUCGACUGCGUGAAGUCGGAAUCGCUAGUAAUCGCGGAUCAGCUUGCCGCGGUGAAUACGUUCCCGGGUCUUGUACACACCG